UACAGAGGGGGCAAGCGUUGUUCGGAAUUACUGGGCGUAAAGGGCGCGUAGGCGGCCUGCUAAGUCGAACGUGAAAUCCCCGGGCUCAACCCGGGAACUGCGUCCGAUACUGGUAGGCUUGAAUUCGGGAGAGGGAUGUGGAAUUCCAGGUGUAGCGGUGAAAUGCGUAGAUAUCUGGAGGAACACCGGUGGCGAAGGCGGCAUCCUGGACCGAUAUUGACGCUGAUGCGCGAAAGCCAGGGGAGCAAACGGGAUUAGAAACCCCCGUAGUCC
rnacentral:rRNA from 1 species